rnacentral:rRNA from 1 species
AGUCGAACGAAACACCUUAUUUGAUUUUCUUCGGAACUGAAGAUUUGGUGAUUGAGUGGCGGACGGGUGAGUAACGCGUGGGUAACCUACCCUGUACAGGGGGAUAACAGUCAGAAAUGACUGCUAAUACCGCAUAAGACCACAGCACCGCAUGGUGCAGGGGUAAAAACUCCGGUGGUACAGGAUGGACCCGCGUCUGAUUAGCUGGUUGGUGAGGUAACGGCUCACCAAGGCGACGAUCAGUAGCCGGCUUGAGAGAGUGAACGGCCACAUUGGGACUGAGACACGGCCCAAACUCCUACGGGAGGCAGCAGUGGGGAAUAUUGCACAAUGGGGGAAACCCUGAUGCAGCGACGCCGCGUGAGUGAAGAAGUAUCUCGGUAUGUAAAGCUCUAUCAGCAGGGAAGAAAAUGACGGUACCUGACUAAGAAGCCCCGGCUAACUACGUGCCAGCAGCCGCGGUAAUACGUAGGGGGCAAGCGUUAUCCGGAAUUACUGGGUGUAAAGGGUGCGUAGGUGGUAUGGCAAGUCAGAAGUGAAAACCCAGGGCUUAACUCUGGGACUGCUUUUGAAACUGUCAGACUGGAGUGCAGGAGAGGUAAGCGGAAUUCCUAGUGUAGCGGUGAAAUGCGUAGAUAUUAGGAGGAACAUCAGUGGCGAAGGCGGCUUACUGGACUGAAACUGACACUGAGGCACGAAAGCGUGGGGAGCAAACA